GGCUACGUAAGCUGUAACAGCGCUGUCGCUUGCUAAUAUUCAGAAUAAUUAUUCAGAUCGGCUGAAUGUAGCUUAGGUAUUGUCGAUGUUAAUGAUAUGCAAUUCAUUGACAAAUAAUAAAAAGAGUGAGGUGAUUUAAUAAGCGCUAGAACCGUCUGGCUAUUGUAGGCUACAUCGCCAAGUUUCCACGGCUCCCGCGUGCGCGUGCUAUCCCUAAACUCCAGUGGAAGGGAGGAUAAGGUGUAGCAGCACAGGUGCUGUGGCCCUCGUCUGAUAAAUGUUCAUCAGCGCUGACAUUUUUAUGGGUCUUUCUAUUCAACAAGACCGGUUCUUCCUGCUAGACACCAGGUUCUUCCACUCCUUUUCUGUCACUAGAGUGGGGAUGUCUCUUGUCUGACUGCUAUCUACUGAUCUAAUAGGUGUGUAUUCAUAACACCCUGUGUGUGUGUGUGUGUUCACAUUCUUGUGUAUGCGUGUGCACGUUUGUGUUUGACACUUGAUGUACUUCAUGGUUACUCAUUGUUACGGUGUCGCAACCUGAGGCUUACAUAUCAGUCCAC
ensembl:lncRNA